GAUACCCUAUUAUACUAGAAUGAGAUUAUAUAAAGCUUGAUUAUUAAUAGAUAUAUUCUUUAAAUUUGAAGAAUUUGGCGGUGAUUUAGUCUUGUCAGAGGAACCUGUUUUUUAAUCGAUAAACCACGAAAAAUCUUACUUAUUAGUUGAAAGUUUGUAUACCAUCAUUAUCAGAUAAUUUCGAGAGAAGAAAUUAUUGUUUGUUAUUAAAUUAGAGAAAUUAGAUCAAGGUGCAGCUUAUAAAUAAGUUAAAAUGGGUUACAAUAAGUUUUAUUUAUUACGGAAAAGUGUAGGAAGAUAUAUUUGGAAGGAGGAUUUGAUUGUAAUAUAAGUUUAAUAUGGUUAGAAGAUAUAAGCUCUAAAUCAUGUACAU
rnacentral:rRNA from 1 species